rnacentral:rRNA from 1 species
UACGAAGGGGGCUAGCGUUGCUCGGAAUCACUGGGCGUAAAGGGUGCGUAGGCGGGUCUUUAAGUCAGGGGUGAAAUCCUGGAGCUCAACUCCAGAACUGCCUUUGAUACUGAGGAUCUUGAGUUCGGGAGAGGUGAGUGGAACUGCGAGUGUAGAGGUGAAAUUCGUAGAUAUUCGCAAGAACACCAGCGGCGAAGGCGGCGCUCUGGGCCGGUACUGACGCUGAGGAGCGAAAGCGUGGGGAGCAAACAGG